CUAACUACGUGCCAGCAGCCGCGGUAAUACGUAGGGGGCUAGCGUUAUCCGGCUUUACGGGGCGUAAAGGGGGGGGAGGCGGUCUUUCAAGGCAGGAGGGAAAGGCUACGGCGCAACCGUAGUAAGCGCUGGAAACUGGGGGACGUGGGUGCAGGGGAGGAGAGUGGAAUGCCUAGUGUAGCGGGGAAAUGCGUGGAUAUUAGGAGGAACACCAGUUGCGAAGGCGGCUCUCUGGACUGUAACUGACGCGGAGGCACGAAAGCGUGGGGAGCAAACAGGAUUAGAUACCCUGGUAGUCCACGCUGUAAACGAUGAGUACUAGGUGUCGGGGGUUACCCCCUUCGGUGCCGCAGCUAACGCAUUAAGUACUCCGCCUG
rnacentral:rRNA from 1 species